UAGCGUAGGGGGCUAGCGUUGUCCGGAAUCAUUGGGCGUAAAGAGCGUGUAGGCGGCCCGGUAAGUCCGCUGUGAAAGUCGGGGGCUCAACCCUCGGAUGCCGGUGGAUACUGUCGGGCUCGAGUACGGAAGAGGCGAGUGGAAUCCUGGUGUAGCGGUGAAAUGCGCAGAUAUCAGGAGGAACACCUAUUGCGAAGGCGGCUCACUGGACCACACUGACGCUGAUGCGCGAAAGCUAGGGGAGCAAACAGG
rnacentral:rRNA from 1 species